UGACGUUGAAUUUGCGUUUGCGGACUUU
rnacentral:sRNA from 1 species